CUGGGUUGUUUCUGUCCACACGCACAGCUUGUAGUCAUCUGGCACAGCUUGUGGUCAUCUGAUAAAGCAGGCGCAGCAGGGGGAUGACCUACUUGUUUUUUGUGAAAUGCUCACAGCUGUUAGUUUGUUAGUCAGGGGGCAAAAAGGUAGAAAUGAAGUCAGUCAGAAAUAGCUGGGUGGUGGCUCAGUGAAUUCCAGGCUUUGGAACCUGCAGUAUUUUAACACACAACUUUAUUUUCUGAAAUGACAAAAGCGCAAACCAAACUAAGUGCUGACAUGAGGGUUGGCUGGAACGUAGGUGUCUAGGACUGCUGUCUUGAAGGAGUCCAUUAGCUGCUGGAAGCACAUUCCUGUGCAGCUGGCUGCAGACAUGGAGUACCCAUAUGCUGGGCCAGGCAGCACUUCUCUGGAGGCUCUUGAGCUGGGUUGGAGCUCCUCUGCUCAGGCAGCAUAUCAGGAGCAUAGGACAAAUUCUUCAGGGAGAGAAUGACCUGGAAAAAAAAAACAAAAGCAAAUGAAAAAACAACCCUAUCAGAGGGCACUUUUAGUCUGUGAAGUGAGCUGGCAGUCCAGUUAGAUUUUCCAGCAGAGACGGAUUGUAUUUAAAUUUCUUACUGUCAAAUUCAGCUUGAAACAAGAAAGGUAUGGAAGCAUCAGGUCUCAUCUGGAGGAGACUGAUAUCAGCAAGGCUACAAGGCACUGCCAUUGAUGAAGGUAUGGGUUUUUUUCCCCAUGGGGUGAAGUUUUCAACU
rnacentral:lncRNA from 1 species